rnacentral:SRP_RNA from 1 species
GCCGGGCAUGGUGGUGGGCGCCUGUAAUCCCAGCUACUCGGGAGGCUGAGGCAGGAGAAUUGCUUGAAACCAGGAGGCGGAGGUUGCAGUGGGUCAAGAUUGUGCCACUGCACUCCAGCCUGGGUGACAGAGUGAGACUCUGUCUUGAAAAAAAAAAAAAAGCCACAAAACUUGUUUAUUUAAAUUUUUUUAAGUUCAUUUUUAUUAGAUUUUUUUUUUUCCCCCGAGAUGGAGUCUCGCUCUGUCGCCCAGGCUGGAGUGCAGUGGCCUGAUCUCGGCUCACUGCAAGCUCCGCCUCCCGGGUUCACGCCAUUCUCCUGCCUCAG